AAACGGAUGUACAGCCGGGUUUUUUUUUCGAUGCAGAAAAAGGAACCGUUUUGCUUUUCAAGUUCUCGGUCCCGGGACACACGAUCUUUUCCUUUCACGUAGAAUAUGAAGCACUCUGAGUCAGGCCUAGGUCAAAAGGUCAACAACGUAAAACCCAGUUCCGAUGCAUUCCCGAGCACAAACACACCCCACACACACACUAGCAUGCAUACGAACCUGUUCAUAAAGUCGAGCACUUCGAAAGUUUUAACAUCGGAAAAGGUUCGACCGAAUUUCCAGAGUCUAUUCUUCACUACUUCCAGAAUCAAACACUUCGAAAGUUUGAACAUCGGCAAAGUUCAACAGAAUUUCCAGAGUCUAUCCUUCACUACUUCCAGACACCAUGGAUUUCUCGGCAGACAGCUUGGUGAUUAUUUCUGAUGAUGAGAUUCCCGAAACAACCACUCAUGACCUUUUGAAUCUGAGCUCCACACAAUUUGAGGGAAACGUGACUAACAGUGAUUACGACGGAGAUAUUUCAGAUACGAGUGAUGCAAUAGAAGACCAAGAGGAGAUCAUCUCGGAAACCGACAUUCAACAAGACAUCGAACUACAACGGAUCUGCGCAGUGUGGCGUGAAUUCUUCGAAGCAAAGACUGAUUUAUUGGAAAACUUUGGACAGAUUGAUUAUACACUUGAAUCUGGUCGAGGUACAGAUUUUAUCCCUUUACUGUAUAGCACGCUUGAAAAUGUGAAUAGAACCAGAUUUCGCUGCACUGUGUUUCGGUAUCAACCGGUGACGACACACCCGAUCACAAAGAGAUCAUAAUUAUUGUUGCAUGUUCUUUACCAUAUAGCUUUCCCAUGAAUACCAACUCAACCCACUAUCCCCCCCAUCAGGUUGUUGGUUGUUUUCCCUGAGUCAGGCCUUGGUCAAAAAGGUCUAUGAUAAUUAUUGACACACACACACACACACACAUAUACGAACCUGUCUAUAAAAGCGAACACUUCGUUAGUUGGAAAAAUCAGCAAAGAGUCGAAUAGUUCGAAGGGAUCGACAGAAUUUCCAGACUCUAUCCUUCAAAACUUCCAGACACCAUGGAUUUCUCAGCAGAGCAAGACCGAACUAAGCUCGUCUGAUUCUAGUGUAUAGGAUAACGUAUCAAACGAAUGCGAGUCUACAAGGUAAUACAAUUUUGUCUCUUAGAUCUGUGUAGCGAGCUAGAAGGGGAACUGUUAAGGUACUAGAAGUAUGUUUUAUUUGCUUUACUGUUUGUAGAUAACAGUGCCGUCAUAAUUUCUGACGAUGAAAUUUCCGAGACAUCUGAACGAAGCCUUUUGAAUCUGAGCUCUACACGUAAGUCAUAACAUAAAAUUUUACAUGGUUUACAUGAAUAAGCAGAAAUGUAAUCAUGCUUUUCUUUCCUAUAGCACAAAUGAAAAUCCCUCUCUAGACGAGCAGAUUUGUCAGAUGAAACCUUUUCCUUCUUAUCCACUGCUACGGUAAACUAAAGAGUAGAUUUUCAAAUUACACUGCUAAAUAUGACUAGCAUUAGCUACGUGUAGUAGUGCAAAAUAAUCCAUCAACUGUAUUAGCAGGUGUAGCCUAUACACGAGUCCACUGCUGGUCAUAUCACUAUUGAGAACAUGCCCCAAAUUCACUGCUUUAGUAGAAUUUAAUUGUAAGUGAAAUGAUGCUCACACUGUAAUGUCCUUUGUAUUUGUUCAGUCUACAGGUCCUCUAACACUCUGUUAAAUGAAUAAAUGUAAAUGUACUACAACGUAGAUUUUGUUUUAAAUCAAUUAAUGCAGAAAUUACACACAAUAUUAUCAACAUUAUUAUGUCAACACAACUCAUCAAAAUAAUGUGUACAACUUUAAAUAUUUAAUGAAUUCAAUAAAUUAGAAUUUUUAUCUUGCAACCACACAUUAAAUUUAGAUUGUGGGGGUUUGCUUUGUAUAGCGCCGCUGUUAGAAAAUACAUGAUGGUUGAACGUGAACAUAAAUGAGCAGAAUGUAAGCUUGUGAAAUAAAUGAAACUUUAUUGAUUGCAGUUUUGAGAAAAUGGCAUGACUUUGAAUAAAAAUUUACUGAAAUAAAUACUCUAAAACAUUGAUAUACCCGAAGAAAUGUAAAAAAGAAAAAAAAAAAAAAGAAAAGUUUUUACAUACCUUCUAAA
ensembl:lncRNA